rnacentral:lncRNA from 1 species
GCCUGGUGGAAAUAAUUAUGCCUGAUUGGUUCCUGGUCCUUGAUGGACCUUUUUCAGAGGCAGAAUGAUGAGGUGUUUUUUAGGCUGAUUUAUAGUGUUUUAAAUUACAUGUAUUAUCCAUUUCAGAAAAAAAAGCAAAUAGUGAUAGAAUUAUCUGUUCUCCUAUUUUCAUAAUUGAUUGACUGAUGAUUACUUUAUGCCACAUCAGCACCCUCCUAUUGUAAGUGCUAUAUGCCACAUCAGCACCCUCCUAUUGUAAGUGCUAUAUGCCACAUCAGCACCCCCCCUAUUGUAAGUGCUAUAUGCCACAUCAGCACCCUCCUAUUGUAAAGUGCUAUAGCCCAUCAGCACCCUCCUAUUGUAAGUGCUAUAUGCCACAUCAGCACCCUCCUAUUGUAAGUGCUAUAUGCCACAUCAGCACCCUCCUAUUGUAAGUGCUAUAUGCCACAUCAGCACCCUCCUAUUGUAAGUGCUAUAUGCCACAUCAGCACCAUCCUAUUGUAAGUGCUAUAUGUUUUCUGUAUUCUGUUUCUGAUAUAAAUAAGUGGGUUGAAAUAUUUUUUUUUAAAACUUCUGAAAAUAAUUCAUUGGUUCAAUUAAGGAGGGAAUGAAUACACCUUGUCGCUAUUUCUGGAUAUCACACAGGUUUCCGUAAAAUUUUGACGUCAUAAAACGAAUCAUCUGACGCCACAAUGGAAAAGUGAUUGUUGUAUGCAUCAAAAGUUCAAGCGGCCGGGUCAGCCGGGAUUAGCGAUAAGGUGUAUGCUUUUUAUACGACCGCAAAAUUUGAAAAAUUUUUCGUCGUAUAUUGCUAUCACGUUGGCGUCGUCGUCGUCGUCGUCCGAAUACUUUUAGUUUUCGCACUGUAACUUUAGUAAAAGUGAAUAGAAAUCUAUGAAAUUUUAACACAAGGUUUAUGACCACAAAAGGAAGGUUGGGAUUGAUUUUGGGAGUUUUGGUCCCAACAUUUUAGGAAUUAGGGGCCAAAAAGGGCCCAAAUAAGCAUUUCUUGGUUUUCGCACUAUAACUUUAGUUGAAGUUAAUAGAAAUCUAUGAAAUUUUGACACAAGGUUUAUGACCACAAAAGAAAGGUUGGGAUUGAUUUUGGGAGUUUUGGUUCCAACAGUUUAGGAAUUAGGGGCCAAAAAAGGGCCCAAAUAAGCAUUAUUCUUGGUUUUUGCACAAUAACUUUAGUUUAAGUAAAUAGAAAUCAAUGAAAUUUAAACACAAUGUUUAUGACCACAAAAG